rnacentral:tRNA from 1 species
UCCCUGGAGGACUAGUGCUUAGGCCAUGGCAUUCUCACUGCCGUGGCCCGUGUUCGAUUCCUGGCCAGGGAA